AUACGGAGGGUGCAAGCGUUACUCGGAAUCACUGGGCGUAAAGGACGCGUAGGCGGGUUGGCAAGUCAGAUGUGAAAUCCUACAGCUUAACUGUAGAACUGCAUUUGAAACUGCUAACCUAGAGUAUGGGAGGGGGAGAUGGAAUUAGUGGUGUAGGGGUAAAAUCCGUAGAUAUCACUAGGAAUACCGAAAGCGAAGGCGAUCUCCUGGAACAUAACUGACGCUAAGGCGUGAAAGCGUGGGGAGCAAACAGGAUUAGAAACCCCAGUAGUCC
rnacentral:rRNA from 1 species